rnacentral:tRNA from 1 species
UUAUAUAUAAGCUAAAAAAGCUUUUAAGCCCAUAACUUAUUGAUAAAUUGCAAAAUUUUAUAUAAA